rnacentral:rRNA from 1 species
UACGGAGGAGGCAAGCGUUAUCCGGAAUGAUUGGGCGUAAAGCGCCCGCAGGUGGCGAUGUAAGUCUGCUGUUAAAGAGUGAGGCUCAACCUCAUAAGAGCAGUGGAAACUACAUAGCUAGAGUACGUUCGGGGCAGAGGGAAUUCCUGGUGUAGCGGUGAAAUGCGUAGAGAUCAGGAAGAACACCAGUGGCGAAGGCGCUCUGCUAGGCCGUAACUGACACUGAGGGACGAAAGCUAGGGGAGCGAAUGGG